CACACUUCAGCCAAUCAGCAGGCAGGAAACAGCAAUUGACCUAAAGAAGCAGAUGGCGAUAUGGAGGAAGGAAGUGACUCCAGCCAGGUCUGGGUUCUAUGAGAAAGAGGAUGUGGGAAUUGAUAUUGCCUAGGCAACCAGUAGCAUCUACUACAGUCCUUUUUGCAAAUGUCCACCCUCCACCCCAACAUUGUUAUCAAGAAUGGCUGUGGCUCAUUCUAGGUCUGUGAAGAGGUCACUUCUCUAGGGGCGGAUGGGAUGGGUCUGCCAACAAAAUCAAAACACCCUCCCAACUCAGACUUAGUAACUUCUAAGAUGAGGAAACAGGUUCAGAGAGAUGAAGACUCUUGCCCAGGGCACCUGGAUGCUAAGCGGUGGAGUUGGGACCCGAACCCAGGCAUUCCAUCCUCAGAACCCAUGCUGGAGAGAAAGUACUCUGGUCCCUGGGCAGUGAGAAGUAACGAGGCCAGACCACUUCUGCAGUGAAGGCCCUGGCUGUUGCCUGUCACUUUCAUGGAGCUCCCAAGCCUGUCAGCAUUCACUGAGAGCGCCAUACCCCUAACUUUAUUCCAACAAGGACUGCUUAUUGUGCGCAUGUAUGUGUAUUUAAUAAUGAUAAGGGACUUGUAUGUCAUAUUUGACAGGAGGGCUUUUUUUCUUCCCAAGUUUAAAGCACUACUGGGAAAGAAUUAGUGCUACUGGAGGCAAAAACAAAGGGACCCCAUCAGAAAAGACAGUCUCUGAAACUCUGGGAUCUUAAUUGAACAAUUACCUCUUAUGCCUAUGAAUGGUUCAUUAUUACAUGCCCUGUUAUUAUUAGCUGUUAUUAUUGUUUUAGAUGAAUGCUGGGAAUUUUGUUUUAAUCAAAAGCCGUAUUCAGCCACACCGUUCAUCUCCCCGCAAAAUGCAUGCUUCUGACAUUUCCGAAUGUGAUAAUGUCGUAGUCGGCAGUCGGUCCCCGCACCUCGCCCAGAUAACGGUGUACUCGGAUCAUUUCAGUUGUCUGGAUGGAACGGUUAAAUACUCCAGGCCUCUGUUCAUGCUGUUAUUAAUUUUUGGCUCCCUGGUGAAAGCAUUUAUAUAAGAAUAUAGCACCUCCUAUCUUUUAUUCUUUAGGAAUCCAGUGUCACUGAGGACAAUGAAGUGAUCUUUGUUCAUCCCAAGCUUUUGAGAUAGAAAUAAGAGGGAGGGUAGUGAUGGAGCCAGAGGUCAGGAUGGGAGAGGCACUGAGGGGUGGAGACCCAAGCCCCAGGAUUGAGGGGUGGAAGGGCUGGCUCAGGAGAGGCCAGGCUGGGAGUCUUGUGUUCUUAGAGGGAAUCAGAGGAAGGGGGAAGCAAUAUGGAUAAGGCACUGCCAUGUGUUAGAUGCCUUGCUGUGUUUGGCAUUCAUAAUCUCAGGAACUGUGUGCGGGAGCUCAUGAACCAGUGUUUGUGUCAUCCUAGAAAUCAUGCCCCCUCUUCCUUACAACACCCGAGCCAAUCACCAUGACUUUCCUUCCCUUACUAGGUAAGAGUAUGGGAAUAGCCACGUGACCCAGUUUUGCCCCAAGAGACAAGCGGGGAGGUCUGCUGGGGGAGGGGGAAUUCUGGGAAAAGUUUCUGGGAAAGUAACAGAAGUCUAGGAAAAGACUAUCCUCUCUGUUGCUGGUCACUAUUGCAUCUGGAUGUGAUGCCUGGAACUGCAGCAGCCACUUUGUGACCCUGAGGGGCCUUGACAGAACAGAAAGAUGAAAAGGACAUUGGUCCCUGAUGACACCAUUGAGCUGCUGCUUUAACCAACUGUGGGGCCACCCUGCCUUAAGGCUUCUUAUGAUUAUUCCAGAUAAUAAAUGUUCUUUCUCAUUUAAA